rnacentral:rRNA from 1 species
AGCAGCCGCGGUAAUUCCAGCUCCAAUAGCGUAUAUUAAAGUUGUUGCAGUUAAAAAGCUCGUAGUUGAAUUUCGGGGUUAGUAGAUUGGUCAUGCCUCCGGUAUGCACUGGUCUUACUGGCUCCUCCUUCCUGAUGAACCGUAAUGCCAUUAAUUUGGUGUUGCGGGGAGACUGGACUGUUACUUUAGAAAAAUUAGAGUGUUUAAAGCAGGCUAACGCUUGAAUACAUUAGCAUGGAAUAAUGAAAUAGGACGUUCGAUCUUAUUUUGUUGGUUUCUAAGAUUGACGUAAUGAUUAAUAGGGAUAGUUGGGGCAUUAGUAUUCAAUUGUCAGAGGUGAAAUUCUUGGAUUUAUUGAAGACUAACUACUGCGAAAGCAUUU